rnacentral:rRNA from 1 species
AUUGAACGCUGGCGGCAGGCUUAACACAUGCAAGUCGAGCGGAGAGAGGUAGCUUGCUACUAAUCUUAGCGGCAGACGGGUGAGUAAUGCUUAGGAAUCUGCCUAUUAGUGGGGGACAACAUUUCGAAAGGAAUGCUAAUACCGCAUACGUCCUACGGGAGACAGCAGGGGAUCUUCGGACCUUGCGCUAAUAGAUGAGCCUAAGUCGGAUUAGCUAGUUGGUGGGGUAAAGGCCUACCAAGGCGACGAUCUGUAGCGGGUCUGAGAGGAUGAUCCGCCACACUGGGACUGGGACACGGCCCAGACUCCUACGGGAGGCAGCAGUGGGGAAUAUUGGACAAUGGGCGGAAGCCUGAUCCAGCCAUGCCGCGUGUGUGAAGAAGGCCUUAUGGUUGUAAAGCACUUUAAGCGAGGAGGAGGCUACUUUAGUUAAUACCUAGAGAUAGUGGACGUUACUCGCAGAAUAAGCACCGGCUAACUCUGCGCCAGCCGCCGCAGUAA